GCUUGACAUAUACAGGAAUAUGGCAGAGAUGUCAUAGCCGCAAGGUCGGUAUACAGCUGGUGCAUGCUUGUCGUCAGCUCGUGUCGUGAGAUGUUGGGUUAAGUCCCGCAACGAGCGCAACCCUCGUUCUGUGUUGCCAGCAUUUAGUUGGGGACUCACAGGAGACUGCCGGGGUUAACUCGGAGGAAGGUGGGGAUGACGUCAAAUCAUCAUGCCCCUUAUGUCUUGGGCUUCACGCAUGCUACAAUGGCCAGUACAAAGGGCUGCAAUACCGCAAGGUGGAGCGAAUCCCAAAAAGCUGGUCUCAGUUCGGAUUGAGGUCUGCAACUCGACCUCAUGAAGUCGGAGUCGCUAGUAAUCGCAGAUCAGCAACGCUGCGGUGAAUACGUUCCCGGGCAUUGUACACACCGCCCGUCAAGUCACGAAAGUCGGUAACACCCGAAGCCGGUGGCCUAACCGCAAGGAAAGAGCCGUCGAAGGUGGGAUCGGUGAUUG
rnacentral:rRNA from 1 species